rnacentral:miRNA from 4 species
CUGCUGGGUCGGGGCAUUAACA